AGUGAACGCUGGCGGUAGGCCUAACACAUGCAAGUCGAACGGCAGCACAGUAAGAGCUUGCUCUUACGGGUGGCGAGUGGCGGACGGGUGAGGAAUACAUCGGAAUCUACUUUUUCGUGGGGGAUAACGUAGGGAAACUUACGCUAAUACCGCAUACGACCUACGGGUGAAAGCAGGGGAUCUUCGGACCUUGCGCGAUUGAAUGAGCCGAUGUCGGAUUAGCUAGUUGGCGGGGUAAAGGCCCACCAAGGCGACGAUCCGUAGCUGGUCUGAGAGGAUGAUCAGCCACACUGGAACUGAGGCACGGUCCAGACUCCUACGGGAGGCCGCAGUGGGGAGUAUUGGACAAUGGGCUCGAGCCUGAUACAGCCUUACCGCGUGAGGGAAGAAGGCCUUCGGGUUGUCAAGCCCUUUGGCUGGGCAAGAAAAAAAGCAGCUUGAUACCUCGCUGUUCUGACGGUAGCUAAUGAAUAAGCAACGGCUAACUUCGUC
rnacentral:rRNA from 1 species